GAUGAACGCUGGCGGCGUGCUUAACACAUGCAAGUCGAGGGGCAUCACAUGAAGUAGCAAUACGGAUGGUGGCGACCGGCGCACGGGUGAGUAACACGUAUGCAACCUGCCUGUAAGCGGGGGAUAACCCGUUGAAAGACGGACUAAUACCGCAUAAUACUGGAGAUCUGCAUGGAUAUUCAGUUAAACAUUUAUGGCUUACAGAUGGGCAUGCGCAUGAUUAGAUAGUUGGAGAGGUAACGGCUCCCCAAGUCAACGAUCAUUAGGGGUUCUGAGAGGAAGGUCCCCCACACUGGUACUGAGACACGGACCAGACUCCUACGGGAGCAGCAGUGAGGAAUAUUGGUCAAUGGGC
rnacentral:rRNA from 1 species